rnacentral:rRNA from 1 species
CGGGAGUAAAGUUUUGUUUAAACCGAAAAAAUAUUGACUGACUUUAGAUUUUUCUUUGGAAUAUGUGUUUUUUUGGAGAGCCCUCUUUUAUAGUGAAUUUUGUUGGCGCAUGUAUGAUUGUUUAGUUUUUACUUUUUUGGUAAUGCUUUGUGUUUUAUACAUUUAAAACAGAUAUAUAUUUGGCUUAUGGA